AUUGAACGCUGGCGGCAUGCCUUACACAUGCAAGUCAAACGGCAGCACGGGUGCUUGCACCUGGUGGCGAGUGGCGAACGGGUGAGUAAUACAUCGGAACAUGUCCUGUAGUGGGGGAUAGCCCGGCGAAAGCCGGAUUAAUACCGCAUACGAUCCACGGAUGAAAGCGGGGGACCUUCGGGCCUCGCGCUAUAGGGUUGGCCGAUGGCUGAUUAGCUAGUUGGUGGGGUAAAGGCCUACCAAGGCGACGAUCAGUAGCUGGUCUGAGAGGACGACCAGCCACACUGGGACUGAGACACGGCCCAGACUCCUACGGGAGGCAGCAGUGGGGAAUUUUGGACAAUGGGCGAAAGCCUGAUCCAGCAAUGCCGCGUGUGUGAAGAAGGCCUUCGGGUUGUAAAGCACUUUUGUCCGGAAAGAAAUCCUUGACUCUAAUACAGUCGGGGGAUGACGGUACCGGAAGAAUAAGCACCGGCUAACUACGUG
rnacentral:rRNA from 1 species